GCCAAUCCGACCAGGCAAGGCAGAGGCAAUGUCCUGUCCGGGCUCACGGUAUCCAUCCUCCUUCUCGCCCUUGUACAUGGGCAGGGGCUCAGCCUCGCUGUCCAUGCCAGACGAGGCGGGGGCAGUGCCUGCGGCCUUCCCGCUGCCCUCCACGUCAGCCAGCACCUCCAUGUCUGUGUACGACUCGGCCGCUGCCUCAUCCAGCGCUCGG
rnacentral:misc_RNA from 1 species